AGCUGGUGUAAAACGACGUACUUUCUUCAGAACUGGCCUUAGAACAAAAUAAUAAUGGCAGAUAUGACCAUCAACGUUAACUAUUUAAAAAGUUGGAAUGGAAUUAUUAAGACCUGUCAAGUGAUACUAGGUGUGAUUUGCAUAGGAAUUGUUGGUAACGAACUUAAUCGUGAAAUGAUAAUCUUGUACAGACCACCA